UCGUAACCUUACCAUUUCGUAACUGCUGAAUCUUGGUUAUUUUGUAACCAUUUUGUUAGUCAAUUCGUAACCAUCAAUAAAUCAAUUGCUCAUAUGGUAACCACCAUUUAACAAGGUGAUAAAUAGUACACUUAGCACCUCGUUAAGUGUAUUGUUCGAACCUGGAUGUAUAUGGCACAGCAACCAAGACACCAAUUGGGAGACAUUACUCAAAUUCUCACUAGUAACAAGCCAAUAAUUUAUGUUACUCAAUAGUUAUUAGAUAUAUAUCAUGGUAAAUUAGAAAUGAUUUGUUAUACUACCAAAAUAUGUUAAUUAUUUUCUUACAUUUUGCUUACUUAUAAACAAUAAUUUAAGACUGAUCGCGAUGUAUUUUUGAGUAAAAUUACGUUUACAUAAAUGAUCAUUCUUGACCUAUUUCAUUGACUAUAUUUGUUUGAAUUGUUUAAAACGAAAAAAAAAUUGUUCUGUUCUUUUCUCAAUUGAUCCAUAUUCUGCAUACUUUAUAUCCGAAACCGACAAAAAACAGCCUAAAAUUAUUAGUUAUGGUACAGUGGAAACUCACUAAACCGGAUCUCCACAAAACCGGAAUCCUCGGGAUACUGGAAUUUUAUCAGAGUCCCGGUUUUCCCCUUCUAUUUUCAAUGUAAAAAAAUCCCUACAAAACCUGAACCCCGGAAUUCCGGAUACCGGACAAAAAAUCGAGAAAAUUUGUUAGUUGUCAACGUAAUUUUACCUUACAAAACCAGACGUUUUGUUCAAACAUGUCAAAAUAAUUCUGUGUAUUAGGAAUUCGCGAAUCACGUGUCAUUUUGUUUUGACAGCCGGUACGUCGUUAAAUAUUACACCUGUGAUGUUGUGUUAACACGAUAAUCGAUAAUGAUGAUUGCGCUGUGGAUUGACUGUCACGCGAUAAUCAAACGAUAAUCAAACUUGUGAAAAGAAAAUUGAUUAAAACAUUUAUUUGUUUGUUGCAGAAAAUAAAGAACUAGAAACGGUUUUUUAGUGAUCAUUUUGAAGUGUUGUUUUUAUCUAAAGACUUCUAUGAUUGAAUCAAAUUAGAGCGGUGCUUUAAUUAAACUAUCAAACAUACUAAACAAGCAUUAAAUUACGAGAGUUGUUUUAUUUCAAGACUUGGAAAAAAGAUGGUUAUAAAAACGCAGAAAUGUUUAAUUAUGCUUAUCACUUUUGCAAGUGCUUUAAUCAUGUCUCAACCACCGUCUAAACGUCGGAGAAUUGAACUGGAUAACUUAACAAGUGAAGUAAACUGUACUGAGCUUUUGAACAAACCUACAUACUUAUAAAUCAAAAUUGAUAUUUUAGGGUCUACACUGAAUAAACCCAAAAUGUUAGUUUUGAUUUGCUAAAUUCGAACAGUAUUUAGUCUAUCCACACAAAAUUUACAGGAUCAUCAGAUAACAAAUUUUCUAAAAAUUCUCUGUUUGCCAAAUAGGGAAGACAGGUUAAAGUGGGGUUAAAAGGUUGCUAUCUGUGACCAAAAAAAUACUGUUCAAAAUUGUGAGUAUUCAUUUAUCUUUCAUUCAGUAAAGAGCAUGCAAUGGCAUAGUGGUUGGAUUAGAUAAUCUGACAGCGGUGCUGGACGUCAGGAGUUCAAAUAUUGUUGUGAGUUCAAUGUUCCAAAAGAAUACCUUUGGAAUACACAAUUAUCUAUAAAAAUGGCAGAGCAAAUUGCCCAUAUUGUAGUAAUGUCUUAGAUCCAGCUUGGAUAACUUGGACACAGUAAGCGGUUCACACCAAGGGAAAUUCUCAGAUUAAACAGCGCUUAUGAACUUGAACAUUACAUUUUUCAUUGAGACAAAGAAAAAACAUUAUUGCUGAUCUUCUGAAAACAAAUCUUGGAUUUAUACUAAUCACCACCAAAAAUUUAAUUUUAAUCACACAAUGUAAACAACUGCGCCACAGAUCUAUCUUAUCUGUAUGUUUAGAGUUUUUAAAAUUUAGCAGUUAAAUAUAGAUUAGCAUACUGGUAGGUCUGGUUGGUCUGUUGCUUUAGAUGCUAAGUAAACAUAAUGUCAGUGAUUUCAUCACUAUUUCUAUUAAAAUAUCAGUUUUCUUCUUCAGAGCUUCUCACAUUUGCACCAUUUUUUACCAUUUGAAUCAUAAAAAGAUAACAAACAAACACGGAUGGAACAUUUGAAAAUACAAUUCAGUUGGUUUCUAUUUUCAUGCUCAUUUUUGCUUAAAAUUAUUCUGCUUGAAUGUGAUUUAUGUUGCUUAAUAAAUUUGAACUUAACUCUUUGUGAAUAUUUAAGGAAUGUAAGGGGUCAGAUUUCAGAUUGCUCAUUAUUUCUGGAACACUAAAUACUUUAUUUGAUUGUGUACACUGCACUUUCUUGUUAAGCAUUCAUCCAAAUCAUUUGGGUAAAUAUUGGCAGAAAAACUGCUUUUAGAUUUAUACUGGUCAUCAAAACCGGCACUGACAAAACAUAAGAUGUGUUUAAUUAAUGUGCGGGAAAGAGGUUUAAAGGUGUCCGCCCACAACGAAAUGCUUGCGGGUCACAGUACCCCUUCAAGUAGUUCUUGAAAAAAAAUGAUUCUCUCAGGUAGCGUUUGAUUAUUUGUACAUUGUAUCCUUGUAUAUAUUCUCAAGUGUACACAUGAUUUAUAUAAGGUUUGUACAAUUUUAGUUUUAUUUAAAUUUUAAAAUUUUGACAUUUUUUUUAAGAUUUGCCUGCCCCUGUCUAAACACUUAAAUUCUUGUUCUUUGGACUAUUGUCUGCAACUUCAAAACACACUUUUUGGAACAGGACACAUUUUUCUGAUAUUUUAUCCAGUUUGACUGCAAUAUAAGUUGUAUUUAUCAAUCAAGUAAAAAAUGACAUUUAUUUUUCCAUAAUUACCUGGUAGUUAUUUGUUAAUUUGUUUUAAUUCAUGGAUAGGUUUAUUGCAAGUGUCAUGGAAAGCUGGAACUUUUCAGUACACAACAUGCAAACAGAGAAUGAACUGUGUGUGCCGGCUUUGUGAACAAAAACGCAAGGCGGCUAUGUUGCUGCUUGGGACAAUAAAGUUAAGUCAGCAACCGUCUACCAGACUGCAAGAUUCAUCUCUUCCAAAGGAUGUCGUACCUUUCCAGAUACACUGUGUUUUGUGUGGAUAAGAAAUGCAGAGUGGUACCACCAAUCACCUAAGCCACCAUUCCCCUAACAGACAAUAGGCUCAAGGGGACAGUUCCUGCAAUUUACAGAAAAGCUCUCAAUUGUAGCCCUACGAACUUAAGAUACUGCCGAUGGUGAAGCUUGGAUGCACCGGGCCGGUUUUCCAGCCGUGUGGAAUCUCCAGCUGAACUGGGGCCGGGAAUUAUAUUUAUAAGACUCCUUAGCAGCAUGAGUGCCAGCCAGUCAUUGCUGUUCUUGCAUUGCUGAGGAGGACAGUCCUGCCAACAUAACAGUUUGUUCAAUAACAGGAGACAAACAGAAACACAGAGGUGCUAUACAUUCUGAUGGAAAAACAAAAGCAUCUCCCAUCAUUUUGGCGUGGCUCAGAUCAAGAGGAGAAUUUUAAGAAAGGUGAUGGUUGGGCACACACAAGAAGACAUAGAUCACAGGUGUCUAGCCAUAUGAGUAGAUAGGAGUGUCACACUCUGCCAAACUUACUUCAGAUAGGAGUGUCACACUCUGCCAAACUUACUUCAUCAGACGAGCAGAAAGCUUCUCAAGAUCCCGCACUGCACACUAAGACAUAGUCUUUGACUACAACAAGGUGAUGAAAGUACAGAGGUCCAAUUGAAAUCAAUUCUGUGCUGCUGUCAUUUCUUCAUUCUGGAAGUCGAUGGACAUGAUUUAUUAUGGCAUCAAGUGUGUAGUUUGCCGACUAUCAGCAGUCUUGUUCACCAGCUGUGCAACUUGAGCUGGUAGCUUUAUUGCUUGAAGCCACUGCAUAAGAGGGGGAAGGUGCAGGCUCAUCAAAAAGUCUCAA